GUAUCAAAAAGAUCCUAAGAGGUGGUGUCUCGGCCAGAUAUUCAGAAUAUAAGAUGCAUUCACCGAUAGAAAAUUCUAUCUUGGAUAAUUUUUUAUAUUGCAUAUGAAGACUUCUACAUCCUGAAGCAUAUCUUGAUCAAAUCAAGCUUGAUCUCUGUUAAACUGGAUUUGGAAUAUGCCAUCGAUACGGUGCACUUGGAUUUCAUCAAGGAAGUACUACUUUGGCUUCAACCAU
rnacentral:lncRNA from 1 species